rnacentral:tRNA from 1 species
GCCUGGGUGGCUCAGUUGAUUAAGCAUCUGACUUCAGCUCAGGUCACGAUCUCACAGUUUGUGAGUUCGAGCCCCGCAUCAGGCU